rnacentral:lncRNA from 1 species
CCCUUAGAACCAUCCUAGCAACAUGUUAGCACUGUCUCUCAGGGUGUUAAAUCCUGUGUCUCAGGAGAAUGCCCCCAUAUUGAUAACCUCUCCCUCAUCCAAUUUAAGGUUCAACUUCUCCCUACCUUACAUGGAGCCUCAGAAUUUGCAGAAUGCAAUCUUAUUUAUAUUCUUCCGGCUUCUGUCAGUACAUAUUUGUUAUCUCCUACCGCUCCUUUAAGUACAGUCCCUUCCCUCCCUUAUCAGGUUGGGAUUUUGGGGUAGAUCCAGAUAGGGAGGCACAUUUCUUGUAAGGCAGAGAUUUCUGCAUCAUCUUCAGGCAAGGGAAGGAGUAAUCUUUAACAAGAAGGAGUAGGCAACUUAUAAAGGCCCAGAAGUACAGGCGAAAUGGAAGGUUCAAGAUUUUCAGGUAGAUACACCCAGUUAUUGCCAUCCCACAUCUUCCAUUUCCAUUCCCUCUCAAUCAGGACUCUAACCUUGGUGUAGCCAAUUUGCAAUGGCAGGCAUUCAACUUCUCUGGAACUCCGCAAAUCUUACAAUUAAGUCCUGGGCCUAAGCCUGAUUCUCAGUUCUUUCUGCCCUCUGGCUGCAGGAGAUGAUAGUCUCUUUACACAUUGCCAAGAAGUCCUUGACUUUCAUACUCAGCCUUUAUUGUCUUUCUCCAGAGUAUUUAUUACUCUCAACAAUAAAAAUCCUAUUACUUCUCAAACGCCUGAUACAUUGUGCUCCCCUACUCCAUGCAUUCCUUUCCUCAGCCAAAACAUCCCAAUUUGCACUGGUGAAAAUUUUAGCAAUCCCAUUACUAUCACUUGCUAGGGGUUAACAAUGUCUACCUACCACUAGUGAUGGUAUCCUUACUGCCAACAGGCUGGUGAGUGAUCCAACUCCCAAAUCCCAUUUUAGAGUUUACUUUCUUGGGUCUCUCCUAGCACCAAUGAUCCUUAAUCAGGUUUCCCAGGAAGCACUGAGAUUUGAAUCCUGAAAGUUUAUUGGAGGGUGCUCUCAGGAUCAUUGUGGAAAAGCAAAGGAAGCAGGACUGAGGCAGAAGAAGUUAGGCUGCAAUGUGUUCACAAGAAAGCCUCAGUCUAGUCCAUGCAGAACACUGGAGCUAGGAUGGCCCUGCAGAAUUGCAGAAUUGUCCCUAUUUGGGGCCAGGGUAACUGGACCUUAUUUAGAUCCCUACACCACUCAGUCUUUGAAUGAGGGCUGCCUUGGAGAAGAAGACGUGAUUUUAAAGUUUUUAUUUUUCCUUCUCCCCAAAGCCCCCCAGUACAUAGAUUUUUAGUUGUGGGUCCUUCUAGUUGUGGCACGUGGGAUGCUGCCCCAGCAUGGCCUGAUGAGUGGCGCUAGGUCUGUGCCCAGGAUCCAAACUGGCGAAACCCUGGGCCACUGAAGCAGAGCGUGUGAACCCAACCACUCGGCCACAGGGCCUGCCCCUAAGAGGGCGUGAUUUUUUUUUUUUUAAAGACUUUAUUUUUUCCUUUUUCUCCCCAAAGCCCCCCGGUACAUAGUUGUAUAUUCUUUGUUGUGGGUCCUUCUAG